AGGAUGUUGCUGAAGGACCAUAAAAGGAGAAGAAAAAAUCAGCUUGGAUAGAGGGGAGCACAGAACCAAGAAUACUUGUUUUCACGACCAAAUCUAUGUUUAGGUAGAGAAAUUCAUUUACGGGUAGUUAUGGAAUUAUGACCAUAAUUAAGCCUGGCAAUUACAGUUGUAAAUUAUGACAGUUGUAAAGUAGGUAACCAGACCCUUUAAAAAAAAAUCUUUUUCAUUACAAUCUUGAAGCAAACACCAGGGUCAUUAAGCAAAUUCAUUGUUUGCUGUGGGUUGUUUUUUGCUGGAAAUUACAAGUAAAUGCUGGUUUCCAGCAGUCAUGAAUCAUGGUCACAACUGCAGGAUGCUGCAAACUGCCAAAAGUGUAGCCAGUUGCUAAGUGCCAAAAAUGCAGUCACGUGACUAUGGGGCAACAUUUAAACUUUGAAACCUGUUUAUAAGCUUUUGUGGAGUCUGUUGUAACUAAAUUAAAUUUAGUUAAUUUAAAAAUGUAUGAACUGCCGGCUCUUUAUAAUUACCAUCAUGGCAUAAUUUUCAUGCCGUUGUAUAGUCAGAUAUAUUUAUAGAUAUUGGGAAAGUUUCUUUUCUAGAUUAAACAAAAAUCCUCAGAGGGAAAAAUGUGACUGUGGAAAUUAAAUUACAUAAUACAGUUGAUGGGUCAAUAAUUUUAAUAUACCGCCCAAUCAUUUUUUGCUCUUUUUUUUAAAUUAACGGAGAUGCAAGCAAUUAUUUCAGAGGGUUUUUAUCAAAUGCCGUUUCACAAUAAAGCUCUACCUUACCACCACCGUCUCAUAAGCAAACUUUUCUUAAUUUCAACCGUUCUCUUCCUCAAUUAGCACAAUAACAUAUGUCUGCAUUGAGAAGGACCAUGGAUUCACACAGAUCUGGCCAUCACUGAUUUUCUGCCACUUUACCUUCUCCAAACAAACAAAAAAUUGAGGACAGUUUGCUUAAAAUAAUGCCAAACUUGCAACAUUACAUGGUCUCCUGUCCACAGUUGUCACCUAGCGACCACCAUGUUCCAGCAGCACUUUAGAGGCCACACCAAUAGAAGCAGCUCACCCUGCUUUUCCUUGAAUUGCCUCUGAUUUCUGCCCAAAUAGUUUAUCUCCCUUCCCUGCCUCAUUCCCUCUGUAUUGAGUGACUGAGAUUGUAAAGCUUGAAAACGAAGAUUGCUUUUAUUGAUCCAGUUGUAGGCUGCUGUAGAGUAAGUGAGCUAUAAAAGAUUUUGAAUAGGUGAAAGAUUUUUCUUAAAAGGGAUCGAAUGGAGAAUCAAAGCAUUAUUCAAGUUAUAAACAAGGAUUAGUCGAUCAUAGAAAGCCACUGUUUAUUUAGCAAAUUUAUAUAGCUACCCAUGUCACUGAGCAGCAUACAGUCAACAAAUGAUUAAAAACGAAUAUAACAAUCAUUUAAAAAAAAAAAACACAAAUAAGAGACCAAGAUUGUGGGAGAAUAUCAAUAUUCUAAGUACAGUGGGGCCAUCUUACAGGCUCCCUAUGGGUUCCUCAAAGUUGUUGGGAAAACCAUGUUUUAUUACAGAAUGGAACUUCUUACCAGAUUGGACCCAUAAUGCACCCUUCCUGGCAGAUAGAUGUAAUUGGGAAGAGAGGGUCCUUCAAACAACUGCCUUUGGUUUGUUAACCUAUUAAUAUUAAUGCAAAUGAUAUUAAAGCAUCAAAGUUUUCCAUAAAAGCAGCUGUCAGUUGUAGUUGCCUGUCAUUAAGUAAAAAGAUAUACAAGCAGCCUCUUUAAUAUCCAUUGUUUGAUUGCAAAAUAUAAUUGUAAAAUCAA